rnacentral:rRNA from 1 species
CCCCGGUAAACGGCGGCCGUAACUAUAACGGUCCUAAGGUAGCGAAAUUCCUUGUCGGGUAAGUUCCGACCUGCACGAAUGGCGUAAUGAUGGCCAGGCUGUCUCCACCCGAGACUCAGUGAAAUUGAACUCGCUGUGAAGAUGCAGUGUACCCGCGGCAAGACGGAAAGACCCCGUGAACCUUUACUAUAGCUUGACACUGAACAUUGAGCCUUGAUGUGUAGGAUAGGUGGGAGGCUUUGAAGUGUGGACGCCAGUCUGCAUGGAGCCGACCUUGAAAUACCACCCUUUAAUGUUUGAUGUUCUAACGUUGACCCGUAAUCCGGGUUGCGGACAGUGUCUGGUGGGUAGUUUGACUGGGGCGGUCUCCUCCUAAAGAGUAACGGAGGAGCACGAAGGUUGGCUAAUCCUGGUCGGACAUCAGGAGGUUAGUGCAAUGGCAUAAGCCAGCUUGACUGCGAGCGUGACGGCGCGAGCAGGUGCGAAAGCAGGUCAUAGUGAUCCGGUGGUUCUGAAUGGAAGGGCCAUCGCUCAACGGAUAAAAGGUACUCCGGGGAUAACAGGCUGAUACCGCCCAAGAGUUCAUAUCGACGGCGGUGUUUGGCACCUCGAUGUCGGCUCAUCACAUCCUGGGGCUGAAGUAGGUCCCAAGGGUAUGGCUGUUCGCCAUUUAAAGUGGUACGCGAGCUGGGUUUAGAACGUCGUGAGACAGUUCGGUCCCUAUCUGCCGUGGGCGCUGGAGAACUGAGGGGGGCUGCUCCUAGUACGAGAGGACCGGAGUGGACGCAUCACUGGUGUUCGGGUUGUCAUGCCAAUGGCACUGCCCGGUAGCUAAAUGCGGAAGAGAUAAGUGCUGAAAGCAUCUAAGCACGAAACUUGCC